UCAAGCGAUAGGUAAGGGCAUCUGGUGAAUGCCUUGGCAAUCAGAGGCGAAGAAGGACGUGAUACACUGCGAAAAGCCGUGGGGAGCUGUGAAUAGGCAUUGAUCCGCGGAUCUCCGAAUGGGGAAACCCACAGAGUAAUCUGUAUCAAUAUCUGAAUCUAUAGGGUAUUGAAGCGAACGCAGGGAACUGAAACAUCUAAGUACCUGUAGGAAAGGAAAUCAACCGAGACUCCGAGAGUAGUGGCGAGCGAAAUCGGACCAGCCAAUUUGCGAUUAGAUAAGAACCGGAAGUGUCUGGGAAGGCACAUCAUAGAGGGUGAUAGUCCCGUACGGGUAGAAAGUUUAAUUGUAAGAGAGUAGGGCGGAGCACGAGAAAUUCUGUCUGAAGAUAGGUCGACCACGAUCUAAGGCUAAGUACUACUGAUUGACCGAUAGUGAACCAGUACCGUGAGGGAAAGGUGAAAAGCACCCCGACAAGGGGAGUGAAAGAGAACCUGAAACCGGAUGCCUACAAGCAGUCGGAGGGGCAUUAAGCCCUGACGGCGUACCUUUUGUAUAAUGGGUCAGCGAGUUAGUUUAUGUAGCAAGCAUAAGCCGAUAGGUGGAUGCGUAGCGAAAGCGAGUGUUAAUAGCGCGUUAAGUUACAUGAAUUAGACCCGAAACCGAGUGAUCUAGCCAUGAACAGGUUGAAGGUUGGGUAACACCAACUGGAGGACCGAACCCACUCCCGUUGAAAAGGUAGGGGAUGAUUUGUGGCUAGGGGUGAAAGGCCAAUCAAACUCGGAAAUAGCUGGUUCUCCGCGAAAACUAUUUAGGUAGUGCGGUAGGCGAACACCAUGAGGGGUAGAGCACUGAAAGAGCUAAGGGGGAGCGAUCCUUACUAAACUUUAUCAAACUCCGAAUACUCAUGAGUGAUACUUACCAGACAGACAGUAGGUGCUAAGGUCUAUUGUCGAGAGGGAAAGAGCCCAGACCGUCAACUAAGGUCCCUAAAUUAUGGCUAAGUGGUAAAGGAAGUGGGAUAUCCAAAACAGUCAGGAGGUUGGCUUAGAAGCAGCCAUCCUUUAAAGAAAGCGUAAUAGCUCACUGAUCUAAAUAAGACGUCCUGCGCCGAAGAUGUAACGGGGCUAAAGCCAUAUACCGAAGUUACGGGAUUGUAUUGCAAUAGAUACAAUCGGUAGCGGAGCGUUCUGUAGGCCUGCGAAGGUGAACCGUAAGGUUUGCUGGAGGUAUCAGAAGUGAGAAUGCUGACAUGAGUAGCGAAAAGAAGAGUGAGAGACUCUUCCGCUGAAAGUCCAAGGUUUCCUGCGUAAAGCUAAUCUGCGCAGGGUUAGUCGGCCCCUAAGGCGAGGCAGAGAUGCGUAGCUGAUGGGAACACGGUUAAUAUUCCGUGACCAGUUAGGAAGUGACGGAUACAGUAGUUUGUACAUGCUUAAUGGAUUGUGUGUGCAAGUGAUGUGUCCCGGGAAAUAGCCCUAACGAAGACCGUACCCGAAACCGACACAGGUGGACAGGUAGAGUAUACCAAAGCGCUUGAGAGAACUAUGUUGAAGGAACUAGGCAAAAUGCUUGUGUAACUUCGGGAUAAGCAAGCCCGGUUUUAAGGCAACUUAAGGCCGGGGGCACAUACUAGGGGGUAGCGACUGUUUAACAAAAACACAGGACUCUGCGAAAUUGAAAGAUGAAGUAUAGGGUCUGACGCCUGCCCGGUGCCGGAAGGUUAAGGAGAGAUGUCAUCGCAAGAGAAGCAUUGAAUUGAAGCCCCAGUAAACGGCGGCCGUAACUAUAACGGUCCUAAGGUAGCGAAAUUCCUUGUCGGGUAAGUUCCGACCUGCACGAAUGGCGUAACGACUUCCCCGCUGUCUCCAACAUAGGCUCAGCGAAAUUGAAUUCUGAGUUAAGAUGCUCAGUACCCGCGGUUAGACGGAAAGACCCCGUGAACCUUUACUAUAGCUUUGCAGUGGUAUUAGGUAAGACAUGUGUAGGAUAGGUGGGAUGCUAUGAAGGUAGGACGCUAGUUUUACUGGAGCAGACGUUGAAAUACCACCCUUGUGUUAUUUGAUAUCUAACCUACUUCCGUAAACCGGAAGAGGGACCCUGCAUGGUGGGUAGUUUGACUGGGGCGGUCGCCUCCCAAAGAGUAACGGAGGCGCGCGAAGGUUGGCUCAGAUUGGUCGGAAAUCAAUCGUUGAGUGCAAUGGCAUAAGCCAGCCUGACUGCGAGAGCGACGGUUCGAGCAGAGACGAAAGUCGGUCAUAGUG
rnacentral:rRNA from 1 species